rnacentral:lncRNA from 1 species
GAAAAUUACCGAGUUUGGGCAGCAUUGCACUGAUAGUCUCAGGAUUGACAUGCACGGAUGACUCAUAAACGUACUGGCAGCGGUAAGUAUACAUCAUAGGAGAUGGAAUUGAUCUUUUAGGAUCCAACAAAGAUAUGCAUACAGAUAAUGAAUGGACAAGGGCAGACUUCGAAUGCGAGUCUUCAAGGGCAUGACCAAAUAUCCUUGCUACAA